UACAGAGGUCUCAAGCGUUGUUCGGAUUCAUUGGGCGUAAAGGGUGCGUAGGUGGUGCUGUAAGUCAGGUGUGAAAUCUCGGGGCUCAACCCCGAAACUGCACUUGAUACUGCAGUGCUCGAGGACUGGAGAGGAGAUUGGAAUUCAUGGUGUAGCAGUGAAAUGCGUAGAUAUCAUGAGGAAGACCAGUGGCGAAGGCGGAUCUCUGGGCAGUUCCUGACGCUGAGACGCGAAAGCGUGGGGAGCAAACAGG
rnacentral:rRNA from 1 species